AGCAUAAAUGGCUGCCCACUGCUCCGGGUGUGUGUUCACAGUGUGUGUGUGUGUGUGUGUGUGUUCACUGUUGUGUGUGUGCACUUCGGAUGGGUUAAAUGCAGAGCACAAAUUCUGAGUAUGGGUCACCAUACUUGGCUGAAUGUGACGUCACUUUCUGAACAUAGACAUGAAAGUGUGCUAUUCAAACCUAAAUUGUUAUAAUUCAUAAAUGUUUUUUUGUAAUAUGACAAGGGGAGGAGCCUGCUAACAGAUUUUAAAGUACAAUUAUUACCAAAAACGUGGUAAAAUAUCUAUUUAGGAGUCUUAGACCUAACGAUAAAUAGUUUGUGAUGAUCAAAUCAGGAUUUAAUCAUAAUAUACUGAAGUGAGCGUGUGUCAGUUUGCGGGGUUAAAGAAAUGUAGUGUUGUUAUCUGAACACAUGUCAGUGUAUCUGAGUGAGGUCUUCAGGUCACAGUAAACAUUGAUCUUAACAGCUGAUUCUGGACCUGCUUGUGUAGGAGCUGAAGCUGAUUUAGAGCUGGUGACUGGAGACGGUGGCUUUGUUUCGCUUGGAGCUGGAAAAGAUGAAUGUUCAGAUACGUCAUAGACUACCAUCAUAUUUAAAUGACUGAUGAUUAAUUGUUCAUAUAAAUCAUUUACUUGGAUACUUGACAGUAUAUGUGGCUGAGGUCUUCAGUUGAUCUCUGUGUUUAAGCUGACAUCUCCACUCUCUGUUGUGAUCUUCAUUCAGGAGUGUUGUAGUCAGAGAGAUGAGACACUGUUCAGAGGAGAAUGAGAUCUGAAAUCUGGAGUCUGUCUGCAGAUUCACACCAGCCUG